GACGAACGCUGGCGGCGUGCCUAAUACAUGCAAGUCGAGCGAGUCUGCCUUGAAGAUCGGUGUGCUUGCACUCUGUGAAACAAGAUACAGGCUAGCGGCGGCCGGGUGAGGAACACGUGGGUAACCUGCCCAAGAGAUCGGGAUAACAACUGGAAACAGAUGCUAAUACCGGAUAACACCAUAUGAUACCUAUCCACUGUUUAAAAGAUGGUUCUGCUAUCACUCUUGGAUGGACCUGCGGUGCAUUAGCUAGUUGGUAGGGUAACGGCCUACCAAGGCGAUGAUGCAUAGCCGAGUUGAGAGGCUGAUCGGCCACAUUGGGACUGAGACACGGCCCAAACUCCUACGGGAGGCAGCAGUAGGGAAUCUUCCACAAUGGACGAAAGUCUGAUGGAGCAACGCCGCGUGAGUGAAGAAGGGUUUCGGCUCGUAAAGCUCUGUUGUUGGUGAAGAAGGACAGGGGUAGUAACUGACCUUUGUUUGACGGUAAUCAAAUAGAAAGUCACGGCUAACUAAGUG
rnacentral:rRNA from 1 species